UACGUAUUGGGCAAGCGUUGUCCGGCUUUAUUGGGCGUAAAGAGCGUGUAGGCGGCUUAACAGGUCCGCUGUGAAAACUCGAGGCUCAACCUCGAGCUGUCGGUGGAAACUGUGUAGCUAGAGUCCGGAAGAGGAGAGUGGAAUUCCCGGUGUAGCGGUGAAAUGCGCAGAUAUCGUGAAGAACACCCGUGGCGAAGGCGGCUCUCUGGGACGGUACUGACGCUGAGACGCGAAAGCGUGGGGAGCGAACAGG
rnacentral:rRNA from 1 species